UACAGAGGUCUCAAGCGUUGUUCGGAUUCAUUGGGCGUAAAGGGUGCGUAGGUGGCGCCGUAAGUCGGGUGUGAAAUUUCGGAGCUCAACUCCAGAACUGCCUUUGAUACUGGCGACCUUGAGUCCGGGAGAGGUGAGUGGAACUGCGAGUGUAGAGGUGAAAUUCGUAGAUAUUCGCAAGAACACCAGUGGCGAAGGCGGCUCACUGGCCCGGUACUGACGCUGAGGUGCGAAAGCGUGGGGAGCAAACAGG
rnacentral:rRNA from 1 species